UGGGGAAUUUUGGACAAUGGGCGAAAGCCUGAUCCAGCAAUGCCGCGUGUGUGAAGAAGGCCUUCGGGUUGUAAAGCACUUUUGUCCGGAAAGAAAUCCUUGGCUCUAAUACAGUCGGGGGAUGACGGUACCGGAAGAAUAAGCACCGGCUAACUACGUGCCAGCAGCCGCGGUAAUACGUAGGGUGCAAGCGUUAAUCGGAAUUACUGGGCGUAAAGCGUGCGCAGGCGGUUUGCUAAGACCGAUGUGAAAUCCCCGGGCUCAACCUGGGAACUGCAUUGGUGACUGGCAGGCUAGAGUAUGGCAGAGGGGGGUAGAAUUCCACGUGUAGCAGUGAAAUGCGUAGAGAUGUGGAGGAAUACCGAUGGCGAAGGCAGCCCCCUGGGCCAAUACUGACGCUCAUGCACGAAAGUGUGGGGAGCAAACAGGAUUAGAUACCCUGGUAGUCCACGCCCUAAACGAUGUCAACUAGUUGUUGGGGAUUCAUUUCCUUAGUAACGUAGCUAACGCGUGAAGUUGACCGCCUGGGGAGUACGGUCGCAAGAUUAAAACUUAAAGGAAUUGACGGGGUCAUAGCUGUUUCCU
rnacentral:rRNA from 1 species